UUUGCACUUGUGUGGUGGUGGAAACAUGUUUUUGCUUCGAAACCUAUUUCACUUGAACUACAUAUAUUGUUUUGAUUUGGCAUAAUUUUAUGUCCAAUGCAACGCUGUAUUUUUUUUGUGAUGUAGUAAAAUUAUUAUCCAAAGGACUAGAGAAUUGUUUCCAAUGUUCCAUGAAAUUGCUUCCAAGGAUUUUUUUAUUUCCAAUCAGAACUUUUUACAUUGAGACACUGCAUUGGUUUGAAACAAACUGAACUAUUGCUUCCAAAGAAAUCAAAAUUUGCUUCAGUAAAACAAAACAUGGCAUCUAGGCACAGUUCCAAAGUUGUGCAUGUUGGUUGUGCUUCCUUCCAAAGAUGGCCGUGCUUCCAACCAAAGAUGGCCGUGCUUCCAACCUGAAGCGGGCGUGCAAUGGUAGAUACUCUCAACAAAAUUCAUCGAAGCAAGCAUUUUAUCCAAAGUAGCGCAAAUCAAAACAAGUGAAUGAAAAUGAAUCAAAAUAUGAGAUGAAUUAAACCCUAAUUCUUUCGCAAAAAAAAUUAAACCCUAAUUCGUGUGAGUACAUACCAAGGGGACGGCGCCCGAGAUCCACGUGCAGCUUCUUCGCGAAGCCGAAAUUGUGCACCAGCGCAGUAGAAGAGAUGGUGACGGGGCAUGGUCAGGUAGGGGACCCGGGCAACUAUGGGGAUUACGCGAACGGUGGUGAGAGGAAGAUUUGACAGGCACACGGGGUAGCACACCGCACCGACGUAGGACGUCAAGCAGUUGUAGCCGCUUUGGAGUUGUUGUUGCGGACCAGGGUGGUGGCGGAGGUUGUUGUUGCGGUGAGCCAGCUCGGCGUGCUCGGUGAUGAGCUCACCUAUGGGAUGCAAGAUAGGGUGAGGUGGGUGGAUCGGCCUAGCAAGUUUACUCGCAUCGGACGUGGUGAGGUGGUUGUGGACGGGAAGCAAGCGAGACUUACUCAGAGUGGAUCAAUACGUGCGUUUAAUUGGUGGGGUCAGAGAAGAGC
rnacentral:lncRNA from 1 species